rnacentral:rRNA from 1 species
AGAGUUUGAUCAUGGCUCAGAACGAACGCUGGCGGCAGGCUCAAACAUGCAAGUCUAGGGGACGUAGCAAUACGUCACCGGCGGACGGGUGCGUAACACGUGGGAAUAUACCUUUCGGUACGGAACAACGCAGGGAAACUUGCGCUAAUACCGUAUACGUCCUUACGGAGAAAGAUUUAUCGCCGAAGGAUUAGCCCGCGUUCGAUUAGCUAGUUGGUGAGGUAAUGGCUCACCAAGGCAACGAUCGAUAGCUGUUCUGAGAGGAAGAUCAGCCACACUGGGACUGAGACACGGCCCAGACUCCUACGGGAGGCAGCAGUUGGGAAUCUUGGACAAUGGGGGAAACCCUGAUCCAGCCAUGCCGCGUGAGUGAUGAAGGCCUUCGGGUUGUAAAGCUCUUUUACCCGGGAAGAUAAUGACUGUACCGGGAGAAUAAGCUCCGGCUAACUUCGUGCCAGCAGCCGCGGUAAUACGAAGGGGGCUAGCGUUGUUCGGAAUUACUGGGCGUAAAGCGCGCGCAGGGGUUUCUCAAGUCAGUGGUGAAAGNNNNGAGCUCAACUCCGGAACUGCCAUUGAAACUGUGAAACUUGAGGACGAGAGAGGGAGUGGAAUUCCCAGUGUAGAGNNGAAAUUCGAGAUAUUGGAAGAACACCGGUGGCGAAGGCGGCUCACUGGCUCGUUUCUGACGCUCAGGCGCGACAGCGUGGGGAUCAAACAGGAUUAGAUACCCUAGUAGUCC